CUGCUGGGAUUACAGGCGCCAGCCACCACACCCGGCCCAAAAGCUUUGUGUUGUUACAGAUAUUAGACACGUUUCUUGUUUAAGAAAAAAAAUCUUAACUAUAACGUAGGAGAAUAAGAGAAACGUUUUUCCAAAAAAAGACAAACUAUUGUGAUUAUUUUAUCUUAUUAGAAUGUUGGAUAAUAUAAUCUGCUUCAUCAAUCAUCAGGCAUGCUAUGAAUUUUCCAUUUUUAUAGGAUCUGUAUCUCAGUUAUGGUAAUACUGGUAAUUUUUGUACUGUGUUUGAAGAUGAAAAAUGUAGGCCAAAAUCAUAGACCUUGCAUAGAAACUGGAUAAUGAGCACAGCUCUGAAGGAAAACAUAGAUACACACAGACACACAUAUAUAUAAAGUAUACACACAUAUAUUUUUUAAAGUUUUAAAGCUUUUAAAACAAAAGCCGGCACCUCCCCCAUCCCAGACUGGGCAGCCCCUCCCCUCAGAGUGGGCGGGGACAGCGGUUGCCUGGGCAGCUUUCCUUGUGAGCCGCAGGUCCCUCUGGACAUACUGCUGCCUGGCUACACCCCCUUUCCCUUUAAUCUUGCUCAGUGACCAAUGAGCUUGGAGCAUUAAGGCCACGCCCCAUUUCUGCAUUCUACUGGGGCCCUGGUUAGGCCUCCUGUGGAUCAGUCGCACAGCUGCCUGGUAGGUGACUGGAGGUGUUGAUCAGUGCUUGCUGGGAUUUCGCUGAUGUGGUCCCAACCUCCCCUCCCUCCCUCCCCACCCCAUGAUGGCAGAAGAAAUUCGACAGAGCAAAUUGGCGGCAGCAAAGUAAAAGGUAAAAACGCACCAUGUCAUGGCCCCCCAACCCAGCCACAGAUCCCCUCUGAUGACAAGACCACUGCCAGAGUCCAUACCACUUCUGAGGCACAUCGGACUGGGCCCCCCAACCAUGGCCUCUCUGGGUUCCCCCAACCAAAGUCUUGUCAGUCAGCCCCGCCCCUUCAGCAAGCAGCCCAGUCCCUGCCCACAGCAGUAACCCCAGGGUGACUUUGGGCGGGUGAUUCCUGGAGUUCCCCACUCCAUUACUGGGCCCUUACCACCUGCCACUCCAAGCUUGACCCCCCUGGGCUCUUUGGGCUCGUGUCUCCAAGGACCUGGAUCCCCCAGGUGCACGCCGCGCCUUUGGUAGUCAUCCCUGGGUGACUUUGGGCUGGUGACUCCUGGGGCUCCCUGCUGCAGACUUUGCCCUCCCCUCCUGCUACCUCAAGGUUGACCUCCUGGGUUCUGUGUGGUGGCAUCUCCAAGGACCUGGGUCCCAACCCUGUGUUUCCCUCCCUCAUCAUGCAGCAGCUACUCAGACAUCACACUGAUGUGGUCCUUUCCCCCAACCAGGAGGAGUGGAAUGUAGUGAUGUCACAGUCCGCCUAGGAACUGUCAUUACUGCAUGACCGGCCUUUGGUCUUACGACACAGUCCCCUAAGCAUUCUCACCCCAUUUCUGGUUCCUCUGGUCACAGCACAAAUUUCCAGCUGGAAGGGGAAUGGAGACUAUAGGACCCAGGAGCAAGAGGUUUCAGGCUGCCUUACUCCCUUCACAUAGACAUUGACAGUGGGGAAAGCCUACACUUCCCCCGUGAGCGCAAAACAUUAACAGUAUCUCUGGGUGGCAAUGGGGGAAUGGGUUUGGUUUGGCUUUUCUCCCAAGCUUCUACUUUCCAGAGAGAUUUCAACAUUUUUUUUCUGAGUUCUCCACCUCAUAUUCUGAUUCUUCAUGGUUCUGGGGUCAGACUGCCCUUCAUUCAGUGGUCUCUGAAGUGAGAUUUGCUCAUCUUCUGUGGAAUAGAUCUUGGGAAACUGAACUUGACAGCUUGAAUCUUCCUCAUAUUAUCUGAACCUGGGGUACUCUGAGUGCCACAGGAUAAAUGUGGGACAUCUUUCUGAAGCAUCAGUUUCCCUUGAUUCUCUUGAGAUCAAGAGAAAAAACAAUAAUGUACUUAGGGAUGUCACAUAGGUCACCUAUGUAACAUAGGUUUCUAAGAGUAUACCAGACUUCUCUCUGAAAUGAGGUUUGGGUUGUCUUCUUUCUGAUAAAUUCCUAGAUUUAACAGAAAGGCUUCCUUCUGCCAUGAGAACACAUUGAUAUAAAAUUUGAGAGGUACUGGUGCACUGCUUUACACUAAUAGACAAGUGAGGAUGUAUGACUCUAAACCACACGGCAUACAGUUCCUGCCUACUUAAUGUUUACUUUUUUACCUCUGCCUCUGGUUUUGGUCCCUGGCAGCCACUGUUUCUUGGCAAAACCCCAAAGCUUGGAGUCAGAAGACUGAGUUUCAAAGUUCCAGUGUUACAUUUUUUUCUUUUCUUUUCUUUUUUGUUUUUUUCUUUAGCCAUGAUAUCAAUCCCCCUCAGUCACUAAAUGAUUGUACCAACACCUUGUACAGUUGUUGGUAUCAUAAAAUCAGAUGGUGUAUAAGAGUAUUUUGUAAAAACUGUAAAGGAGGAUGUGGCUGUAGGGGCUGAUAGUUCUCAUGAGUAUUACUGCUCUUC